CAGCAGCCGCGGGAAUACGGAGGAUCCAAGCGUUAUCCGGAAUCAUUGGGUUUAAAGGGUCCGUAGGCGGUCUUGUAAGUCAGUGGUGAAAGCCCAUCGCUCAACGGUGGAACGGCCAUUGAUACUGCAGGACUUGAAUUAUUGGGAAGUAACUAGAAUAUGUAGUGUAGCGGUGAAAUUCUUAGAGAUUACAUGGAAUACCAAUUGCGAAGGCAGGUUACUACCAAUUGAUUGACGCUGAUGGACGAAAGCGUGGGUAGCGAACAGGAUUAGAUACCCCCGUAGUCCCUGUCUCUUAUAC
rnacentral:rRNA from 1 species